AACGGCCGUACCAUGCUGAAUAUACCGGUUCUCGUUAGAUCACCGAAGUGAAGUCAUUCGAGGGGGGGGUGGGAAUGGGGCACGGGCAUCAUUGGGCGCGGUCAGUACUUGGGUGGGUGACCACCUGGGAACACCGCGUGCCGUU